CCUAGCAACGCUCUGAACGGUGGUGGGAACAUCCGUUCUCCAGGGAUUCCUUGUUCUCAAGAGGAAAUGUACAAUAUUUUACCCAAGAAAAUAGGCUGAGGACAAGCUCUGACUGGCCUUGGGAGCUGAACACAGCCAGCAGGGGAGCGUAUUGCUGGAAGAGAGCGGAGGAGAAAAGUGUGACCUGGGGCCAGUACUGUUGGAAUCUCAGCACCGUGGAGGAGACUUCCCAUCACUGCUGCUGGAACAGAUGGCGCUCACUCUUCUCACCUCACGACCACUGGAGUCAGUAUCUCUGGCCACCGAGUUCACACUCUGUCCUUGACUUCCUAACAACUCUAUGCAAGAUCUAUGGUUCCCACUCACCUCAAGGCAAAGGCAUGCUGAUCUAUACCUGAAAAUAUACAACUGACAUCAUCCA